GAUAAAUGCUGGCGGCGUGCCUAACACAUGCAAGUCGAGCGGUAACAGAUCUAGCUUGCUAGAUGCUGACGAGCGGCGAACGGCUGAGUAACGCGUGGGAACAUGCCCUAAAGUGAGGGAUAACUGCCCGAAAGGGUGGCUAAUACCGCAUAUGAUCUACGGAUUAAAAAAUUUAUUCGCUUUAGGAGUGGCCUGCGUCGGAUUAGAUAGUUGGUAAGGUAAUGGCUUACCAAGUCGACGAUCCGUAGCUGGUUUGAGAGGAUGAUCAGCCAGACUGGAACUGAAACACGGUCCAGACUCCUACGGGAGGCAGCAGUGAGGAAUAUUCCACAAUGGGCGAAAGCCUGAUGGAGCAACGCCGCGUGCAGGAUGAAGGCCUUCGGGUCGUAAACUGCUUUUAUAGGUGAAGAUUAUGACUGUAGCCUAUGAAUAAGCACCGGCUAACUACGUGCCAGCCGCCGCGGUAA
rnacentral:rRNA from 1 species